rnacentral:rRNA from 1 species
CCUACGGGUGGCAGCAGUGAGGAAUAUUGGUCAAUGGCCGGAAGGCUGAACCAGCCAAGCCGCGUGAAGGACGAAGGUGCCAAGCAUUGUAAACUUCUUUUGUCAAGGGACAAAAUCAGGCUCGAGAGCCUGACCGAGGGUACUUGAAGAAAAAGCAUCGGCUAACUCCGUGCCAGCAGCCGCGGUAAUACGGAGGAUGCGAGCGUUAUCCGGAUUUAUGGGGUUUAAAGGGUGCGUAGGCGGACUGUUAAGUCAGCGGUAAAAGCCCGGGGCUCAACCCCGGCGAGCCGUUGAAACUGGUUGUCUUGAGAUGUCGAGAGGUAGGCGGAAGGCGCAGUGAAGCGGUGAAAUGCUUAGAUAUUGCGCAGAACUCCGAUUGCAAAGGCAGCAUACCGGCGGCGAUCUGACGCUGAGGCACGAAAGCGUGGGUAUCGAACAGGAUUAGAUACCCCUGUAGUC